GUGCCCACCAGGUUAAAUUCUUGGCAAAAAGAUCAUAAACUGGUACUGGUAAUGUGUUAAAUUGACAAGCUAAUUUAACAUCCUUUGAUGAUGUAUGAUAUAAUGUAAAAUAGCAAGAGCAUGAAAAAUGUGAAACAUUACCAGUUAACCAUCCAUUGCAUUUACUGGAUUGGGGUUUUAGAAGUAACCAAUCAUUAUCUGUGAGGUUACACAUUCCUCUAAUCUUCUCUAGUUUAGGAAUCAUUAGUGUGUUUUCUAAUGCCAAUCCUUGUUGUUGUAUCCAUAAAUACCUGAUGGCACAGGUACUCCAGUUACUUAGACCUGUAGUGAAUUUCAUAGUUGCAACAGUUAAAUUAUCUAAAUAAUUAUACAUUGAUUUAUCUAAAUCCAAUCCUAUAACCUGUGAUUUAACAACAAUUGGAGCCCAAUUUGCAGUAGCAUGAAAACCAGUCCCUAUAUGCAUGCUGGCUGUGUUUAACUUAUUCUUGAGGGUCUCCAUAUCUAUAACUAUUUAGUAUACCCAUAGUGGUUCCAGCAACAUCUAACAGUGUGUCAUACCAUUCCCUUUUCUGCCUUUUGUUUGUUGUGUUACAUAAUGUUACAACAAGAGUAGUGACUUUUAAUGACACAUGUACAGCUUGUAAGAAGGCAGUUGUAUUAACACAUGUGGAUGGAAUAGGUGUGUGUGUGUCGUGGUUGACUUUUGGUUCUAUGAUAGUGGAUGAAGGACAGUAAUAAGGUGUAAAAAUAUAAGGUAGUGUAUAGUUCUCAAUUGUAGUGUCGUUCAUAAUGACUAACAUUUGUCCCCUUUUUCCAAUUAAUGAUACCAGUUAUAUAAUCAUUAUUAAAAGUAAUAAGGCCUGUCUAUUUACAUUGAUAUGCAACCUUAACUGUGCACAUUUCUGCGUUAUAAGAUCUAACAAUUUUCUGUGAACCUUCAAACAAACAUAAUGCAUCGGUUUCAUUAGCUGUAGACACAUUUCAUAUGGGUAACUGGUACUUAUAAGGGUUACUAUUUGUCCAAUUCAUCCAAAUGCGUUCAGUGAAUGAAUGAUUGCAUAUUACAUGCUGAUAGAAAGGUGGUGGAGAAAGGUUCUUGAGGGGGCGUGUGUGACGAAUGCUAGAUGAGGGGCUAAGGCCUAAUUGGGCUGGGGGUAUUGAAGAAUUGUUCAUCAUGUCAGAGUCUUUUUCCAGAAACAAACAGGUUUCAAACUUGCCAUUGACUUGUACUCAUAAUGGCAUUCAAGGAACAAUAUCAGAGGGAGUAUAACAACUCCAGAAAGCAUAGCGCACAACAUAAUCUUGGUCUCAGGUACGUAUGAUCCUCUCAAUCUACGAUAUGGUGUAAAAGCCAUGAUGCUUCGCUGAGGAGAAAUUCUUCUGUUUCCGAGCGAGGAGUGGUGUUGUCUUCCUUGGUUCCCCUCUUUGGACACAGCUUCACUCGGGAUGCGUGAAUCCAGAUGUCAUGGGAAUCUGUGAGGACAGCGGUUCUGGUUACAGCAAUCACAGUAGCAGGUGGUCCAAAAGGGUAUCCUCCUUUCUUGGUCCUGUUCAGCUGACGGAUAUACACCUUGUCACCGGGCUGGUUUGAAUGAGUAGGUUCCUGUGAAGGUAAGGGAAAACUGCGAAGAAACAUUGUCAUACAUACCAUUCGGUUUUAUCAACAAUUCACCUUGUGGGGAUAUAUUCUUAUCUCAGCUAAAAUAGCUGGUAGAUAUCUAGUCCAAUUUACCCAUGUUCCUGGGUAAAUUCUGGGCUUUUCCUUAAUAGUCCUAUUCAUCCUUUCAACUACCCCUGUAUUCUGUGGAUGAUAGGGUAUAUGAAACUGCCAGGUAACUUGCAAGAAUUUAGCAAGUUCCUGGGCAACCCCACUUGCAAAUACCGGGCCAUUAUCAGAGCCAAUCUGCAGAGGGCAGCAAUACCGGGGAAUAAUUUCAGUAACAAUAAUCUUCACUAGCAUCUUCCCUAGAUGUCACAAAGGCCUCAUGCCAUCUACUAAACUGAUUAACUAUGACCAGUAAGUAUUGCUGUUUCUUACCAAUUUUGGAUACAUGAAUAAAAUCAAUCUGUAAGUGUGUAAAAAGAGCAGUGUUCACACGAUCUUACAAAAGACUGUACAUGCUGCCUGAGAUUCCUAAUAUAAAAUGAAUUCAUGAGGAAUUGAAUGGUGCUUGCUAUGUGCCUGACUGAUGAAAAUAAAUCAGCUUGCUUCAAGUAUGCCUAUUCUUCAAGUAUGCCUAUUCUCCCCUCUUUAGAGAACAGAUCAUUCUGAUCUUUCUCUAAACCUUGUUUAAUCCAAAAGACAGAUUCUGGGUAUUUAAAAAAAGAAUCUCAUAACCACUGAAGCGCUGGGCUGUCAUGUGUUGUGUGGUGAGAUUUGUCAGCUGAGUGACCUGGUGACUGGCAUGAAGUAUUGUAGGAUGCCCUAGUGUGAUAGUAGUAGCAGUUUCAACAGCCAUUGCACAUGCUAUCAAUGCUCUGAGACACGCCGGCAUACCCUGUACCGGAGCUUGAACUACUUUGGAAAAGAAUGCUAUGGGACGCAUACCGCCUCCUUGCUCUUGUGCACAGACCGCGGCCAUGGUUUUACAAUUGUCCCAAGCAUACAAAUGAAAUGGUUUACAAUACACAGGUAGUCCUAAAGCCUGGGCUUGCACAAUAACAACUGUAAGGGCAAUAUAUGCAGCUAGCAUGUCUGGUGACCAGCAGACAUUUUCAGGGCUGUCAGAACGUACAGCCUCCCUUAGGAUUGAGUCAUAAUGGGAGCAUUCAGGGAUCCAUUGGUGGCAGUAAUUAAUCAUGCCGAGGAAGGUGAGCAACUCCUUCCGAGUAGUGGGUGUAGGAAUCCUCUGAAUGACCUCAAUACAUUUUGGACUCAAUUGUCUGGUGCCUAAAGCCAGAACAAAACCUAAGUAUUCAACCUUUGAUUUACACAAUUGCAUUUUGUGUUUAACAACCUUGUGACCCACAGUUGCUGACAGUAUCCACAGUGCUUGCCUCAUAGCUAGGGCUACAUAACAACAAAUCAUCAACAUUUUGCAAAAAGGACGGAACCAUGACCGGUGGUCCAUGUUUUUUAGAGUAUGUUGGAGUACCAACGAAUAAACAGCUGGGGAAUCCACAUAGCCUUGGGUAAGCGUGUCCAGGUAAACUGACAGCCUUCAAAAAGUAAAAACCAUAAGUAGCUGUGUCUCUUGAUCAAUAGGUAUAGAAAAAAAAAUGCAUUACUUAAAUCAAUGACAGUGAAGCAAGUGGCAUCAUGUGGAAUGGCUGUAAUGAGGGAUGUCACAUCAGGGACAAUGGGUGAAAUGGGCACAAUUAAACUAUUCAGGGCUCUAAAGUCCUGAACUAAGCGAUAUGCUGGCCAGUGGUGUUGGGAGUGGGUCUGGUGUUGUUCUUGCCUACCGGGCAUAUUUUGAGAAUUGUGGGGUUGGUGGGGUGUGUGGGGUUUCCUGGGGUGUGGACACUCAUUCCUCCAGUGGCCACAGUUGAAACAAGUGUUCCUGUCUAUUCCUCCUUGGUUACCCCUGCCCCUAUAACCCUGAUUUCCCUGUCUCCAUCCCCUUGCCCCUCUUUGACCACCCCUUCCGCGGGCUUUAUGUGCUCCAUCCCAUCCUCGCUCUCAGCCUGUGUAGCUGGACAUAUGUUGCAAUCCCUGAGCAUAAUAAGCAACCUUACUUUCCUAAACCUUUUCUUAAUUCAAAACAACCUGCAUUUUCCUUUUCUAUAACCUUGGUAAGAAAAUCUGAGCUAUCCAAAUUGGCCCAGUCUGAUCAAUUGUUUCACAAGCAAAGAAUACUGUGGCAACAUAUUACCAAGGCAUGACUGUAUUUUAAAGAGAUCUAUAUCAUCUCCAGACAUCAAACCUGCCUCAUCCUUCCAACACUUGUAAAAUUUCUUUACAAAAAUCAUAUUACCAAUCUCUUCCUUUGCAUCUUGCUUAUAUGCCAAAGCAGUGAAUAUAGACUGCUUAUUCUUCCAUAAUCCCAACAUUUCAGCUUCCACCUUGUUCCAGAUUUUAGCACAUCAUACUGAAGUACUAAGCUCAUAAUCACCAAUUCAUUUCAAACCAUAUAACUCAUACUCAGCAUCCCAUGUAAUAUUAGUCAUCUCAUAAAACAAUAUCUUUGUAGAAACACAUAAUGGGUACCCAGCAGAUAUGCCAAUACAGAAAUCAC